rnacentral:lncRNA from 1 species
AUAAUGAUCUGUCCUCUCUCACUCCAAUCCUCACACAUCAAGUAUUUGUGAGUAUACAUUACAUAUUCAAAUAUAUAUGUACAAAUUAACAUGUCACUUAGUCACUAAUCAUGUAUUAGAACUUUAGAUAGUCUGCAUGAAUUAGGAAUGAUCCUAAUUUUUUUUCUUUUCUUGUCAUGGAUAUAGCAAACAAAAGAAGCUUAUGCACAUACUUGGAUUCAAAGCUCAACCAAAAGGCAGUUGGAAGGGAGAUUAUCAAGCAAACAAAACUAGAGAAUCAGAAACAUAAACUAUAGCAGCAGUAUGGUCUUUCAAUUAGUGCAGAAGAAUCAGUGCAUUAACUAUGGCUUAAGUUGCAUAUAUAGCAGCAGUAUGGUCUUUCAAUUACCUCUGUUCAAUUGAAGUUGAAGUUAUAAUUGUAAUCGAAAUUCCAGAACUUCUGUGUAUUGUUCAACCUCCAAAUUCAUUCAAAAUUUUACAAAAUCUCGAAUUUUCCAUUUUCUGUUUGGAUAUCCAUUAUGAUGUUUGCUUCGACAAACCUAAGCUAUUUUAAUUUCAAUUGGUGAACCAAUACAAGUCUA